rnacentral:lncRNA from 1 species
UCCAGGCAGAUGUCGUUAUUCACAGCAGGGUUGGGGUACUUGGGGUACCGCGCUAGGAAUUUGUGGCAUAGCAACCCCAAGCUCUUCUCCUUCCGACUCGGCUGGGAUUUCUCAAAUUCGUCUCCUGAUAAGUGUUCCUGCAGAGGGAAAGCAGGUCAACAGCCUUCCAACAGCUCCGGGCUCCACACUGACCGUCCCUUCAUCCACAAGCCCCCAAACGCCACCCAGCCUCCCUGUAAACCUACGUGCAAACAGUCUCUAGCUUCAGGGAUGUGAACCUGUUUUGUACAAAUUGGUGGCUUGUUUGGGUUCUUCAGAAUUGUGGCUUCUGAUUCACUGGAGGUGGCUGUGCCCCUACCCCGCAACCCCCUGAAGUGGCUGGCAUUGGUGCAAAUGAGGCUGUUGAACCUGAUCGUGUUCUCUCUGGCCUUGGACCUGAGUGCUGCAGAGAGAGAGAGAGAGGGAGACUCUGAUGGCUCUGAAGAUCAUGGCCCUUCCCAUAUGAGGUUCUAGGCAGUAUUCCUGAGCCGGUCUCUUGCUCACUCCCCAGCCCUUUUGAAUACCCCUUUUCGGUAUGAAUUUGAUGAUCUAAUUUGACUAUCUCUCAAAUGCUCAGGUGUGUUACAGUUUUACUCUUCACUGUAUCAGUUUGUCACACGGUUAAGAGAGCAGGAUCUACCCUUCACUCGGGGUCAUUCUCUGCAUCCUAGCUGAUGUUCAGUGAAAGCUCCAAGGGUUUGUCAAUGUGGAAACUGGUUGGCAGUCAAUCGAUGGUCUCGCAGCCACAGUUAGAGAUGAGCUGCAUCUGGGUCUGCCCAUGUGCUUUUAGAAUAGGCUGAACUUUAUAACACAUUCAAUCUUUGGAAUAAACUGCCACCGUUUUAUUGUUAGUUGAACUAUAUACAAGGUUGCUGGGGUAGGAUAUUUCAGGGGCAGAGUGCUUGCCUAGCAUGCAUGAGACUGUAGGUGGACUCCAUCCCCAGGACCAAAAUAAUAAUUUUAUUCAUAGAGGAAGAUGUUUGCCUGGGUUCAAUGCCCAACAACUCCAGCUUUGGAGGAUCCAAAUGCUUCUGUCUUCUGAGGUCACUAGCAUGGACAUAGCCCCUACCACACAUGUACACACAAUUAAAAAACAAAGCAUAGGAUUUGGAGUAAAACAGACUUUGCUUUUAAAGCCCCAUAAUAAUAUUGCAAUGCUGUAGACAUGAACACUUUCUCAACAACCCCCAUACACAUAUACUGAAAGAGAAAUUAAAAUAUAACCCUGAGUGGGCCUUACAAGGAGAAGAUGAGUUAGUGCAUGAAAAACAGCAGUGUUUAGCAUGUGCUAAAUAAAGAAAGCUGUUAUAUAUUGCCAUGUGUAAUCUAAUCCAAAACAAUCCAUACAUGUGUGUAUCUGGAUUUGCCUUUAAAAAAAAAAAUGUUCUAAUCACCACAGCGAGAUUCCUUGUAAGCGGAUUCUUCUGAUUGGCUGCCUCUGCACCCUCUGCCCCUUCCCAACCUCCCCCUAGGUGCCCACUGUGGGAGGAUGUCCAGUGUUCCGAAGCCUGGCGUCAGGGACUUUCUUUACAUGUCUGAAAGACUUAGUAUCUAGGAAUGCCUCAGA